rnacentral:rRNA from 1 species
UACGUAGGCAGCGAGCGUUGUUCGGAGUUACUGGGCGUAAAGGGUGUGUAGGCGGUUCUUUAAGUUUGGUGUGAAAUCUCCCGGCUCAACCGGGAGGGUGCGCCGAAUACUGAGGGACUUGGAGUAUGGGAUGGGAAAGUGGAAUUCCUGGUGUAGCGGUGAAAUGCGUAGAUAUCAGGAGGAACACCUGUGGUGUAGACGGCUUUCUGGACCAUAACUGACGCUGAUGCACGAAAGCUAGGGGAGCAAACAGG